GUGGGUUGCUAGCAGCAAUGAAUGAGAGCUCUCACUCAUCGCUUUCAUCUGUUGGCUGUCAUGCAAGAGCUGAUUUGCUGACAGAGCCGUGAAGUUGCCAGAGAUCCUCCCUGUGGCCUGAACCGAUGCCCCCGGGGAGCCCCGCACUGAGAGCCACAGACCUCCGGGUGUGACGCAGGUGCGUGAGAAGCACAGGGAAUGCGACUCCCUAUUGAUUUUACAUUAAUGUUUGACACUUAGAGUGGGGGUCAUAUUCUGGUGGCAAUUACCCUCAAGACA
rnacentral:lncRNA from 1 species